UACGUAGGGUGCAAGCGUUGUCCGGAAUUAUUGGGCGUAAAGAGCUCGUAGGCGGUCUGUUGCGUCAGGAGUGAAAACUCGGGGCUUAACCCCGAGCCUGCUUCUGAUACGGGCAGACUAGAGGUAUGCAGGGGAGAACGGAAUUCCUGGUGUAGCGGUGAAAUACGCAGAUAUCAGGAGGAACACCGGUGGCGAAGGCGGUUCUCUGGGCAUUACCUGACGCUGAGGAGCGAAAGUGUGGGGAGCGAACAGG
rnacentral:rRNA from 1 species